rnacentral:misc_RNA from 1 species
UACGUAGGGUGCAAGCGUUGUCCGGAAUUAUUGGGCGUAAAGCGAGCGCAGGCGGUUCUUUAAGUCUGAUGUGAAAGCCCCCGGCUCAACCGGGGAGGGCCAUUGGAAACUGGGGAACUUGAGUGCAGAAGAGGAGAGUGGAAUUCCAUGUGUAGCGGUGAAAUGCGUAGAUAUAUGGAGGAACACAAGUGGCGAAAGCGACUUUCUGGCCUGUAACUGACACUGAGGCGCGAAAGCGUGGGGAGCAAACAGG